AAAUAAGCCAAUUCAAAUAAAAGUGCGAAAACCAUAAAUUUACAGGAAUUUAACAAUUUUGUUAGAUUCGAUUUUUCCUGUAGUAUUACGAUGAAACAACUUUCAAUAAAGGGAUAUCACUUAAUAUUAUGCGCCGAAAGUGUUAAUUUAAAGAUUUUGUACUCACUCCCCAAACCUCCACCCGCACCCAUGGGCGACCGGGCCUUUUGCUCGGCACCUGAGCACCUGAGUAGCAGUUCGGCCACUGAACUCUUUUAAAACUGUCCUGAAAACUUUUUUAUUCAAGAAGGCAUUUUUCACUCUAUCUUAAUUUUUUCCCCCUUACGUUUUUACUAGCUUCCACUUUGAACUAUGUUUUACUCUGUGAUCUGCUGAUGAAGAGUGUUAUAAAUAAAAUGUAGUAUUAUUAUAAUUACUAUUUUCCUGGGCUCAGGCCUACUUACUCCCAAGUAAUUUGUUUUUUUAUUUUUGUGUUUGAAGCAAUGGUUCUGAAUAUAAGUACUAUUCCCGGCUAGAAGCCACAAGGACCUGGACUCAAAAGCAAACUCGAGGCGAGGUAGUCAGGUAAAAAAACAAGGUCUUAACUUCAAGUAGGGGUUUGGUACACAAGUAAUCAGACAAGGCAGGCGGCGGCGGCGGCGGCGGAGGAAUUGGCGGGCAUCUCGCAGGUCGACCCACGAGAAGACACAGUCGCAUAACAACUGGUACAGUACGAGAAGUAGGCACAGACUAAAUACACAGGGAACGAGACACAGGUGGAAACAAUGAGGGCGGGGCUUGCAAUCACAGAGGGCGGCGGAAGGAUGGUGUUUGAAACGAGAGGCAAGGUGAAUGACAAAAAACACAACAGAAAACAAACAGUGAUCUACUUAGAAAGUCUGGGUGUUACAGUCAACUGCUGCUACUAACAUUACAUUAUUAUUGUAGUGCCUUCCAAGAAGUCACUUCGGACGCCUCAGGGGUUUCAAUAUGCUGUUCUGUUCAUUCCGCUAUGCGCAUUCUUUAUCUUUGGAUAAACAACUUCAACGUAUAACAACAAAAGAUAGACUGUCACUAAACUUAUAAAUAAACCAACAAAUAAACCAACAAGCUAAAAUUGAAAAACCAUAUGCCUGCUGGUGUCCACGUACCUCCAACAUUCGAUUCCAAACAAAACCUCCAAACUCUGUCAAGGGCUCAUCCUUUGUCUUCCCCUGACCUACUAAUUGGCACAGGUGUGCAACCCCAACUCCCCGUUCCAAGGCCGCAAGGUCAGGAUUAGCCAGCAGGGGUCAUUAAAGUAACCUCAUCACAAAUGGCUCCUACAAUUAUUAUUAGUCACAUUACUGUGACAUGAUGUCAUGUAGUGUUAAAGCGCUUUGAGUAGAAAGGAAGACUAGAAAAGCGCUAUACAAGUACAGUCCAUUUACCAUUUACUUCCUUUGUUACCUAAUACAUCCACUACAGCUGUUAUUAUUAUUAGUACUCGUUUUUCCUUACACCUUAUUCUGGUUAUUACUCCAAGUAUUUGAAUUAUUUCUAUCGCAUGCAUGGGAUAUAUUCUAAAUCUUUUACGCUGUUUAUUCUGUACACAUCCAUGCAUUAUGUCCAUUCUGAACGAUCCUCCUCUGCCGUUCUCCCUAAGGUUCUUACUUUUUUCUACUCAUUGAAGAGUUUUUUUUUUUUGAGGGGUGAGGAUUGCCGAUACAGACUGUCUUGAGUGUCAGAGCAGCAGCUCAGCCUCAGUUGGUGCUGUACAAGCAGCAAAGCGUUAAUCAUUUCAUCAACUUGAGGCAGCUGCCCCACAAGACAACCCGGCAGUAAACUAAGAGUAGACCCUGACCUCUGUCUGUCUAAUAAACACUCAAGCAGCUCUCUCAUCUCAUUGCUUAAUACUGUAAUCCCCCCGGGGCAACAGUAUUCACACCAGGCACCACAUGUAUAGGUUGCUGUGCUGUGACCAGUGGGAUUAAAAUACAAUCAAUGUAAAUACAAUAGAGGUCUUCAUCUAAAGAACUACUAGAAAAACAUACAUAAUUUCAUCACAUUAGUUCUUUCAUUUGUUAGGGACGUCAAAGAGCACCAAGCUGAUGUAGUCUUUACUGUGUGUGUGUGUGUGUGUGUGUGUGUGUGUGUGUGUGUGUGUGUGUGCUACCCUCAUGAACUGGGACUAAAACCAAAGGCACCUUGCAGAGCAGCAGGCUGCGGUGCUGGGAGGCCCUCUGAUGCCCUCUGCCAUCACAGUGAGCCUCACCUCCACAACACUGGUCUUUACUGCAUGACGUCAGCCUGCCUACAGAUUAUUUUCCCAUGUUUUUCCUCUUAAUCCUCCCUCCAGCUUUUCAUCCAGAGAGCCAGGCAUUUGCACAGCUUUGGUCUUUCCAUACACAGACAAUGUGGCACAGCGAUUAAGACAUAUCAGAAUAACACUAAAAUGAUUAAAAAAAAAAAAAAACAUCCCUCGCACAAGUGCUUUACAAUGUUCUCUGUGAAGAACAGUAAGCGAUCAUUUAACUGACGGAAAGCAUAUUUUGGAAUGAGAUUAAUGUUAGUGAAAUGAGAUAGUGGAGACUGAUAUCACUGUGCCCCUCAGCUUAUGUUUGGCUGUGGAUUGAGGCUGCUCUUGUCCUAUUUUAAUGUUACAAACAUGGAAAGGCCCAUUCAACAGCAUGGGAUUCAUGGUGGGCUGUGAAGUGUUGGAUAUUCCGUGUCUGUUAUCUAUGCUGGAAUCUUGUUUGUCUUACUUAAGCAGCCGAGACCCUCCAAUUUGAGUACAUUUCUGCUCAGGUGUCAGAUAAAAGACUCCCCACGCCAACACAUCAGCAGCAAGUCAAAAGAGUACAAAAUAUUGUGCUGCGACCCGGUGCACUUAGAAUGGUUGACAUCAGCAAAAGCAGCUUAGUUUCUGAAAUACAAAGGGUUCACCUCAUGUUAAUACCCGUCUUUUAUCAUAGAGCACACUUCUGUACUGUACCUAGCUACAUCUGUAUUUUGGCUAACAAGUUGCCAAACUUCAAGACCUGAAGCUGUUAUGUGAAACUCAUUUUACCUUCUGAAUAUCCAGACUUUUUUUGUAGAGCAAAAGAAAAGUCAACAUUCUUCCAUCCACCCUAACAAACAACAACUGAGAUGUUCAGAUCAAUAUCAUAUCUAUAUGUUAAACCCAGAACUGGAUUCAGCAUAUGGUUAGCAUAGCUAAGCAUAUCAAGUGGAAGCAGGUGGACUGCUGAAGUAAAAUAAAAGACCCCUUCCAACACAUAAAGCUCACUAUAUUAUCUGCUUGCAGGAUUGUAUGUUUUUUGUAACCUGCCCGGAUAAGAAAAGAAAGUGUCAUUAUCUGAGCUCUGUAGGUCUUCACCCUUUUUGUUAGUGUAUAUGUGUCUUACUUUGUUUGAUGGAUCUCAUCUCUUACUUUUAUUUCACAACUUGCAUUGUGUAACUUUUGAUCCAUAAUGCUGACUGUCCAUACACAGGUCCUUUUCUUCUUUGUGUUGCAUAACAAGUACUUAUUGCAUGUUCACAUGGCCUAUGCCUUAAGGAGAAAAAUUAUGUAUCUGUGUUUCUGUUGUUACACACAUAGUUUACUUCAGGAAUCAGGAAUAAGGGAACAUUUAUUGUCAUAAUAUGUCAGACAUACAAGGAAUUUGACUUGGCGGUUGGUGCAUAACAGCAGACUGUACGACAAUGGACGACAAGACAACAGUGCAAGAGGAAUAAAAUAUAAUGCUAUGGGUUAGUAAUAUAAGACUAUGGGUUAUUUAAAUAGUUAUAAAAAUAAAGGAAUAAAAGUUAAAGUGUAAAAUAUUUUAAAAUUAAAAAUAAAGUGCACCAGCGAACAGAAAGUGACAAGUGAAAGUGACGUGUGCAGUGAGAGUUUUUGUCUGGGCUGAGAAGGGUCGGCUACGAUCUUUUUAGCUCGCUUCAGGGUCCUAAAAGCGAACAAGUCCUGGAGGGACGGCAGAUUGCAGCCGAUCACCCUCUCUACAGGGCAAGGGCAGGCUGCAACGUGUCAUCCAUGUUGCAGCCUGCGACACCAGAUGGUCAGACUCCCACCUGUAGGUGGACUCAUCCCCACCAGAGAUCAGUCCAAUGAGGGUGGUGUCAUCCGCAAACUUUAGGAGCUUCUUGACGGAGGUGCAGCUGCUGGUGUACAGGGAGAAGAGCUGAGGGGAAACAACGCAGCCUUGGGGGGAACUGGUGCAGAUGUUGCGGGAGGCUGCAUGUUUCCCCAGCUUCACGUUCUGCUUCCUAUGAGACAGGAAGUCUGUGAUCCACUUGCAGGUGGAAGUGGUGUCAGUGAACACCGGAAACAAGUUUGUGGAGCUGUGGGGGAUGGAGUCAGGACAUUGUCUAUCAAAUCUGCAGUAGAACUCAUUCAGGUCGUCUGAGAACUGUUGUUGGAGUUUCUCAGAGUACAGUCGUCUAGCAUCUCUCACCGCCUUGCUAAACUUCUUUGUCCCCACUCCUAAAUGCCUGAUCCUUCUGCAGAUGUAGUUUUCUGAGUUCCGCUGUGAACCAGGGUUUGUCGUUGUUGCAACUCACCCUGGUCCAUGAUGUACACAGCUGUCCUCACGGAAGCCGAUGUAAUAAGUUACAGCCUCUGUGAACUCAUCCAGACUGUCAGUAGCAGUCCUGAAAACAUCCCAGUUUGUGCGACUGCACAGACUGUGAUGAGUUCACAGAGCAUGCCCGAAGAUCCUCCAGCGCCUCACUGGUCCACUUCUUGAAUUCCCUCACCACAAGUUUGCAGAGCUUUAGUUUCUGCCUAUAUGCAGGAAUCAAGUGGACCAUGACGUGGUCAGAGUGUCCCAGUGCAGCACGAGGGACGGCGUGAUAAGCCCUGCUUACUGUGGUGUAACAGUGAUCCAGCGUGUUCUCCUCUCUGGUGGGGCAUUCAAUAAACUGUCUGUACUCCUGUGCCGAUGUCCCCGAGGACAAUAACUAAGGAAUCCGGGUUGGAUGAAUGAAGCAAACUCACGGGGGGAGUGAAAGGGUUUGCAGUUGAUGAUGAAAGAUUCCAGAACAGGAGAACAGUGUUGUAGGAUCGCGGUUACGUCGAAGUAGAAGCAGAUUCCUCCACCCAGAGCUCCGUGUCGCGGCCCGCUCUGAGCAGCUGGAAGCCCGCCAGCUGGAGCGCGGAGUCCGGUAUCGAUCCGCAGAGCCACGUCUCAAAAACGGCGGAUGUAGAAAAGUCUCUGUCUCUCCUCACCAGCAGCUGAAGUCCGUCCAGUUUGUUGAGUGGCACGAACCACGCUUGCGGAGUCGUACCAACGAGCCUCUUUUCCUCUCCUACGGCGCCUCAACGCGUGACGAAAGGUGAGCGCACCUUUGACUAGAAUGUCCAGUAAUUCCACAGAAGAAAGAAGAACAGUUGGAAUUAACUCCGCUGGAGUUGUUCCUCGGAUGUUCAAGAGCUCAUCUCUGGUGAAAGAGCUCCGGGAAUCGCAGCAGGAAACAUAAUUAACAACAAAAAAACAAAGCACCGUGGCAGCCAUCGUCGGCGCCAUCUUGGAUAGACUUGGAUUCUAUCCAACUGCACGGGAUGAAACAGGCCCCCACCCUUGAUCACUCUCUUUAUAACUCCGUACAAAUUUGAGUCUUAAGUGUACACAUCUGCAAACUCUUUGUGACUGUACAACCCUCGCCUCUUCUUGCAACGAUACAAUAUACAAGACAUAAUUCUUUGUUUCAGUUAAAAAGAUGUUUCACUACAGUACCCAGGAGGAAAGCUAGCCCUAAUAAUGCUGCAAAGAAAAUAUAUUCUUCGUGCUCCUUUGCUAUUUGCCCAUAUUUAGGAUUCACAUUCUAGAAUUUAUGCAGACAUUUGGGACACAAUGUGUCCCUUUCUAUCCAUAUAAUCCUCAAAAGAUUAGGGCUAACAGCAACACACAGUCACAGUGAAAUCAUUAGCGUCUUCAGAGAGCUAGUGGUAACCGAAGCACGUUUUUGGGUCCCAUUCUUAAUUUCCAGUUAUCCUUCCUUCUGCAAAAAUAGAAAAUUUUGUUUUAUUACAGAUAAACCAGCAACAUGUAUGUUCAAAAAACAUGACAAUGUAACAGGUCGUACAUUUAGAAUUUGGAAUCAUUAUGUAUUUAAAAUGUAUAUAAAUUAAAAAAAAGAUUCUUCAUAAUAAAAAUAAUCAAAACUGUUGUCUUUCUUGAAGGGUGGAGAGAGCUUAAUUUAGAAUCCAAAAUCUAGAAGAAGGCUCCAAAGACUGUUAAAAAAGUGAAUUCUGCUUUGGGUUUAAAGUGUUUAACCCUAACCCCCCCCCCCCACAAGCAUUUUAUGAUUUUAAUGUACAGAUUACCUUUGACCAAUAUGGGUCAGACAAUGGGCUUUUCAAGAAAAAAUCCCCUUCUGCUUUAAGUAGUUUAGAUCAGGGGUCCCAAACCUUUUUUUCCUCACGAACCGUUUUCAUUUUGAUGGCCGGGCUUGAAGGUUGUUGUUGCGGACCGACCGACGGGUGCAGUGACAAGCUCUCUGUUUGCUGGUGGGCGGAACUGCCGUGCGCAGCAAAUGGGCAGUUGUAAAACAUGAAAAAGUGGUAGUAGUAUUAUCAGUGAACGUAUAUCGUAGAACUAUCCAAUGUGUACGUAACUUAGUCCGAACUUGUGUAGUGCACACAAACAACAACAAAAUACAAUAGCUUCAUUAUUUGUCUGAUCAGUUGGAGGCAUUAGGAUUCAAACUGCUUUACUGGAAAGAGAGAUAAAAGUUAAAUGAACUUGAUUGGUCAAGUAUAUCUACACAACUUUAAAUUGUGUCUUCUUUAGAUUUUGACACACACUUUUUAGGCAAUGAACAGUUUGUAUAGUAAAAAUAUUAUAUCAUUACAGACACAUUCACCUACGGUAUACAGUAAAUGUAGAUACAUUGUGAUUCACUGAACUUAAACUGUAAAUUACAGUAGUCUGCUAUUAUUGUGAAUUAAUUGCACUAACUGUUCAUUUACGGCAUUGACUGUUAAUUUACAUGAAAGAGAUGAACAUGUAACUGUACAGUUAUUAUUAGAUACUGCAAAGUAAAAUACCGUUGAAAACACACAUUUACAGUAAUUUGUUACAGUGCAGGUCCACAUUAUUAAGUAAUAAUGAAGGGCUUACCUUAGUUGAAGGUCAUUUAGCUGACGCUUUCAUCCAAAGCAACAUACAUUACAUUUUCAACCCACGGAUUUUUUCAUAUUUUUACCUGGGGAGCAAUUAGGGGUUAGGUGUCUUGCCCAGGGACACUUCAACAUGGGACAUGGGACAGGUGGGGCUCAAACCACCAACCUUGCGGUUCCCCAUGCACCCUCUCUACCUCUGCGCCACGACGACCCCGACCUACAUCAGUCAUACAUGUUUUUGAGCAAAUGUGCCAUUAGUCAAAUUUUGAAAUCUCCCAAAUCACACUUAGUAUAUGUACAUUGAAUACUUAAUGCAGAUAAGUGAAUUCAAACAGAUCCACACUAGAUACAGCCAAACAGCGAAUCCCAUCUUAUGGAGAGGGUCACAUGGAUUUCCAGGAGACGUGACCUAACCCUUACAAUAUCCACUUUCAGCAUAAUUCUAACCCUCUUCAUUGUUGGAAUGCUGGCCUCAGUAUUGUUCUUCGAAUCUUUAUGUCAACAUAUUCUAUUUCUUCCAUGGCACCUUUCCACUCUUUCACACAUUCAGCUAUUAAAACCGUUCAAAUAUUAAAAUAUUCAGCUCCUUCAUAUUCCUACUAUGACUACGGUAAUACAGUGUUUUUCAGUCUUGCUUGGCGAGGGGCAAUUACCUCAAUCACCUGUUCCAGUUGGGAGAAGGGACUGUGAGCAAAUCCAGACAGGUACUCCCUGAAUGCAAGUUUUUUUUUAAAUAUAAAUGUGUUUCUUUUGUUUAAAACAGACAGUGGGGACAACCACUAUUUUGCCACUAUUUUGCCCCUAUUUAACGGAAGGCUUUUUAAUACGGCAAUUGCAUGGGCCUUUUUAUGUUUCAUUUUCUUGUGGGGCUUUCUGCUGUGUUGAAGGGAGUGACACAGUGGUAGAGCAGCCAUAUUGCAUGCAACUUGUGACUAUUUACAUUAUGGUUAACACCUUUACACUGACCUGAAUGUUACAAGUUAGUCCCACAAAAUCUAUUGUUUUUGUGGGUUUUGUUUGAUAUAUUCAGUGAACAGUAUUUAAUCUCUCAUUCAUUUUUAUUGACUCAUUUGAAGAGUUCAUUUAAUAAACCAUUUUCGCUAUAGUAAUCUCUGGCUCCAGUUUAUUCUGGCUGUUGUGCGUAGAAUAUCACCGGGUCACACUACUAUAACAAAAGGUACCGCCAGCUGCUAUUAAUACUACAACUACCACUAAUUGUACUACACAUACUACUAUGACUAAUAGUAUCAUGUCUGUAUUUUCAGCAAUUUUUAAAAUUCAUUUCAGCUUUUAGCUUUCAGCUUUAAUCGUUCAUCAUUCCAAUGCAUUUUCUGCAGGAAAUGCAUUUCCUAGUUUUUAGUUUUCACCCUAGAAUGGAAUUAUUUACUUAAUAGGGGAUGUGCAUUUUCUCCCAUAAAUGUGACUCUGUAAUCAUAUAUACCCUCAUAAAACAGGUAAAACAUAGAAACAUGCCAUUCCAUUGGUGAAAUCCAGUAUAUGUAACACAUUUCUCUCAGCCUUUCACCACAAGAGACCUAUUCCAGCUUCCACCAUAAAGUACAAGUGAAGGCAUGAGAAAUCACAUGCCAUCUUGUCAAGAUAUUUCCCAAAACAUGAGAACUCUGCAAACGAUAUUAACACUAGUUGUAACCACCUGUUUUAAAUAUAAAUCUACCAGUUUGUAUAGCUUGUGAUGAGGUUUAAGGAUGAGUGUAUGUAUGAAUACUGCAGGUCAAACUGCAAAAAAA
ensembl:lncRNA